UACGUAGGGUGCAGGCGUUAAUCGGAAUUACUGGGCGUAAAGCGUGCGCAGGCGGUUUCUUAAGUCAGAUGUGAAAUCCCCGGGCUUAACCUGGGAACUGCGUUUGAAACUGGGAGACUUGAGUGUGGCAGAGGGGGGUGGAAUUCCACGUGUAGCAGUGAAAUGCGUAGAUAUGUGGAGGAACACCAAUGGCGAAGGCAGCCCCCUGGGUCAACACUGACGCUCAUGCACGAAAGCGUGGGGAGCAAACAGG
rnacentral:rRNA from 1 species